GAACGGGUGAGUAACACGUGGGUGAUCUGCCCUGCACUUUGGGAUAAGCCUGGGAAACUGGGUCUAAUACCGAAUAUGACCAUGCGCCUCCUGGUGUGUGGUGGAAAGCUUUUGCGGUGUGGGAUGGGCCCGCGGCCUAUCAGCUUGUUGGUGGGGUAAUGGCCUACCAAGGCGACGACGGGUAGCCGGCCUGAGAGGGUGACCGGCCACACUGGGACUGAGAUACGGCCCAGACUCCUACGGGAGGCAGCAGUGGGGAAUAUUGCACAAUGGGCGCAAGCCUGAUGCAGCGACGCCGCGUGAGGGAUGACGGCCUUCGGGUUGUAAACCUCUUUCAGCACAGACGAAGCGCAAGUGACGGUAUGUGCAGAAGAAGGACCGGCCAACUACGUGCCAGCAGCCGCGGUAAUACGUAGGGUCCGAGCGUUGUCCGGAAUUACUGGGCGUAAAGAGCUCGUAGGUGGUUUGUCGCGUUGUUCGUGAAAACUCACAGCUUAACUGUGGGCGUGCGGGCGAUACGGGCAGACUUGAGUACUGCAGGGGAGACUGGAAUUCCUGGUGUAGCGGUGGAAUGCGCAGAUAUCAGGAGGAACACCGGUGGCGAAGGCGGGUCUCUGGGCAGUAACUGACGCUGAGGAGCGAAAGCGUGGGGAGCGAACAGGAUUAGAUACCCUGGUAGUCCACGCCGUAAACGGUGGGUACUAGGUGUGGGUUUCCUUCCUUGGGAUCCGUGCCGUAGCUAACGCAUUAAGUACCCCGCCUGGNGAGUACGGCCGCAAGGCUAAAACUCAAAGAAAUUGACGGGGGCCCGCACAAGCGGC
rnacentral:rRNA from 1 species